AAAGCAGUCUGUUCUAACAAGCUUUUAAAUGACAAAUCCUGCCUAAGCGUUAGUUAAAAACUUUUCUUCUAAACAUUGCAGCCUGCUUCUGUAUGUUUUCCUUGAUUUUCCUUGACUGUGAGCAAGACUUUCUUCCCAUUUGCACUCUGGAGUCAGGCAUGGUAAGGGUGGCAUGCUACGGAAAUGCGCAUGAGCUCUAUCUGCUCAGUAGACUCCUGAUCAAUGUCCUUGCAUCUGCUUUUGUGCAUCUCUUCUGUUGUCUCUAGAUGACCAGCUUUGCAGAGCAGGACAUUUCCAGCAUGUAUUGUUUUAUUCAGUACAGCACUUUUUUGUGUACAAAAGGGAAGGAUGAAAUCCAACUUUUCCACAACUGAAUACAUCUUGCAAGGGCUAGAGUCAGAUGGUGCUAUUCAAAGGAGUGAAGUUAAAAUGAAAAAGGUUUUUUUUGGUUGAGUGUGUUUUCAUUCAUGGAUUAUGCCUACUAUAAAUAAAAAUCACAGGAUUCACUAACUCAUCCUUUCUAUUUUCUAGCUACUGGUGGGUGCAACUUACUCCAGCAGCUGUGGGUUCAUAAGAAACUGCACAUGUUGUCUGGCUUCUCUGUUAAAACUUAGUAAAUGCUGUAACUUACCACCAAAUGUAUUGUUGUACUGCUCAGUUCUUAGAUACUGUUCUUGCUGCAGCUUUUGAAAGCAAUAAGAGAAAUUUUCCACAUAAAUAGUUGCCAUAUGUUAAACAAUUAUUUUAAGCAGUUCCUUUUAUAUAUGAAUUGUGGAUUUGGCGGUUUUGUUGUAUGAACCAGAACUGUAUGAAAGCUUAUGAGAAUGUCUGGGAGGUUGAUCCACAAGAUGUGAUGGGCUCCUUCAGCUCCACACCUUGGAGAUGGCUGGUAUCCCUGAGAAUCAGUCUUGUAUUUAUGUUAACAGUAUUUUACUAGUUCCAAUACUGGAAAAACAUACCGCAUGUAUGAGGUAUUGCAUAUGCAAAGCUGCUAAAUGCUGAACUUCUUGUUUGUUUUGAUAGGGCAUUAGUGAUUUCAGAAUGAAGAAAGGUAUUUCAUGUGUUAGAAUUAUCACUGACUUCCAGAUUUUUGAGAAAACUUUCUGUAGUCAGGAGGGUUCCUGUUUUCUGCUUUUACUCCAAAAACCUGUAACAAUGUUGGAGCACCUUGAUGCACAAGUUGAUUCAUUAUUUUUGUCUCUGUAACCAAUUUAGUUGGAUGUUAAUAAACCAUACUUGCAAAAGGUCAUAAA
rnacentral:lncRNA from 1 species